rnacentral:misc_RNA from 1 species
GAUGAAGAACGUAGCGAAAUGCGAUAAGUAAUGUGAAUUGCAGAAUUCAGUGAGUCAUCGAAUCUUUGAACGCACAUUGCGCCCGCCAGUAUUCUGGCGGGCAUGCCUGUUCGAGCGUCAUUUCAACCAUCAAGCCCCAGGCUUGUGUUGGGGACCUGCGGCUGCCGCAGGCCCUGAAAACCAGUGGCGGGCUCGCUGUCACACCGGGCGUAGUAGAUUUUAUCUCGCUCAGGGCGUGCUGCGGGUUCCGGCCGUUAAAAAGCCUUUUUUACCCAAGGUUGACCUCGGAUCAGGUAGGAAGACCCGCUGAACUUAAGCAUAUCAAUAAGCGGAGGA